UUCGGUAUCGUCUAAUGGUAGGACAACAGACUUUGACUCUGUUGAUAGGGGUUCGACUCCCUUUGCCGAAGCCA
rnacentral:tRNA from 1 species